AUGGCACGGUGCUCCCGCGCCUGUCUCACGCUGCUUCUUCUUGCGUGUUGUGCCCUUGUCCAGAGCUCCUACGGGUCGAGACCGUCUCCCCGGGUGCCGCAGAACCCCGGGGUCCUGUCUCCGACGAUGGUUCACGGCGCCGUCUCCACGGAGGGUGCGACCGAUCAUCAUGGAGCAAACGCUGAUGAUGGUGGUGGUGCUCCUGCAACUUUGGCGAUGGGCGAGGCUGGCGUUGUAUCGUCGGAGCAGAGAAAGGGUUCAGGGGCGCCGGUGCUGCAGCAAGCGCUGGGAAGGAUGCUGGGCUCGAAGCUGGCGCAGCGGGUGCUGGGAGGGGAGGCAGAGGACUCGGCGGCCGGCCCGUCGUGCCACUCCAACAACGCACACAAUACCUGUGCCCCGCCGGCGCAACACUGA
rnacentral:rRNA from 1 species